CCUACGGGAGGCAGCAGUGAGGAAUAUUGGUCAAUGGGCGGGAGCCUGAACCAGCCAAGUAGCGUGAAGGAUGACAGCCCUAUGGGUUGUAAACUUCUUUUAUAAGGGAAUAAAGUGCCCCACGUGUGGGGUUUUGUAUGUACCUUAUGAAUAAGCAUCGGCUAAUUCCGUGCCAGCAGCCGCGGUAAUACGGAAGAUGCGAGCGUUAUCCGGAUUUAUUGGGUUUAAAGGGUGCGCAGGCGGACGCGCAAGCAAGCGGUAAAAUUGCGGGGCUCAACCCCGUCCCGCCGUUGAAACUGGCAGUCUCGAGUUGGAGAGAAGUACGCGGAAUGCGCGGUGUAGCGGUGAAAUGCAUAGAUAUCGCGCAGAACUCCGAUUGCGAAGGCAGCAUGCCGGCUCCACACUGACGCUGAGGCACGAAAGCGUGGGUAUCGAACAGGAUUAGAUACCCUUGUAGUC
rnacentral:rRNA from 1 species